rnacentral:rRNA from 1 species
AAACUUAAGGAAUUGACGGGACCCGCGACAAGCGGUGGAUGAUGUGGUUUAAUUCGAUGCAACGCGAAAACCUUACCACCUUUGACAUGGCAGGAAUCCUGAAGAGAUUUGGGAGUGCUCGAAAGAGAACCUGCACACAGGUGCUGCAUGGCUGUCGUCAGCUCGUGUCGUGAGAUGUUGGGUUAAGUCCCGCAACGAGCGCAACCCUUGCCAUUAGUUGCUACGAAAGGGCACUCUAAUGGGACUGCCGGUGACAAACCGGAGGAAGGUGGGGAUGACGUCAAGUCCUCAUGGCCCUUAUAGGUGGGGCUACACACGUCAUACAAUGGCCGGUACAGAGGGUAGCCAACCCGCGAGGGGGAGCCAAUCCCACAAAGCCGGUCGUAGUCCGGAUCGCAGUCUGCAACUCGACUGCGUGAAGUCGGAAUCGCUAGUAAUCGCGGAUCAGCAUGUCGCGGUGAAUACGUUCCCGGGUCUU